AUGCAACCCGCCAUUAAACCAAAAGAAGAAGAAGAACUUCGGCUGAUGACGUCACACCAGAAGGAAACACAAACCGACAUAUUUUUUUUAGCUCCUCGACGUUGUGUCACUGAAGUCGAAAAGAAAACGAAACAGAGGAGAAAUAAAACAACAUAAAAAUGCAGAGAGCUUCACGUUUGAAGAGAGAGCUCCAGAUGUUGAGCACCGAACCGCCUCCGGGUAUCACUUGUUGGCAGACCGAAGAACGCAUCGAUGACCUGCGUGCUCAGAUCGUUGGCGGAGCAGGAACUCCGUACGAAGGCGGAAUCUUUUCCCUGGAGGUCAAAGUCCCAGAGAGAUACCCAUUUGAGCCACCCAAAAUGCGAUUUACGACCCCCAUCUACCACCCCAACAUUGACAGUUCAGGACGUAUCUGUCAUGAUGCUCUCAAACCCCCACCAAAGGGAGCCUGGAAGCCCUCCUUAAACAUCUCAACAGUCCUUACCUCUAUCCAGCUUUUGAUGGCUGAACCGAAUCCAGAUGACCCUCUCAUGGCUGAUAUAGCAUCAGAGUUCAGACACAACAAGCAACUGUUCAUGCAGAAGGCCAGGAAAUGCACAGAAGAACAUGCUGUUCAGAAGACCACGACAAUCACGGAGAGCAGCCAAAACAAUGUACCAGAGAAUUCAUCGUCACGCAAAAGAGAAGUCCCUGGUGCCAUGCAGGAGAGAGGCAAGCUAGCAAAGAGGACAUCGGUCAUUUUUUUUUAGCACACAAUUAACACGCAUGCCUCCUGUUUGACGCUGAUCGGAGAUUGAUUGACGCACGGGAAAAGUUAGCUUUGGCAGAUGGCUCUUGUAGCAAGACCAAAGUUCUUUGUAUCUACUGUCGCUGCGUUGGACUUGUCACGGACGACAUCGCCCGGAGCAGUGCAGUUGCUGUUUCUUAUAAUUUGGCGACAGCCAGUGACUUCCCAACAGGAACAACGAUGGCAGUCGAGAGGCGCCG